rnacentral:lncRNA from 1 species
GUCCUGUUCCCCUCAUUGGUCUCUCCGGUCUCCUGAUUCCAGCCACAUUUUGGUGAGCCAGCCAGGAGUGAAGACGACAGGUUUGCUGUCUCCUUUGCCUGUGGGUCUGGGGCCCCAGCCUGGGGGAGACCCGUGACUCCAGGCAUGCUAUCAGGACAACUUCAACCCGAGGGGAGAUCAGCUCUCCCGCAACCUGGUGCCGCUCUCUGACAGCACAACAGAACCUAAGGGGCUACAGGAUGAUUCAAGGAACAGUGUGCUACAGGACCUCGGUAUUCCUGCUGAGAGUCAUUUCCUGUGCUGGAUUUACCAUCACAGGGACCAGAUUUAUAGAAAAAUGAACAUGUAUUGUUGCUAAAUGGAGUUGGUCAUGGAGUGGAAACUAACAAUAUGUUCACCUCAAGAAGACCCUCACCAGAUGCAGCCCCUCUAUGUUGGACUUCCCAGCCUCCGGAAGUAAAUGUGCUACAACCACUCAAGGUCUGCAAACAGAUUCCUAUUUAGAUGUUGUUGAGAGUUUCGUUCUUGUCGCCCAGGCUGGAGUGUCAUUUUAACUUUUAAAACAUCCUGUUCUGUUUCAUUGCUCCCACAAAUGACUGAGAACAUGACAAAUUUGUCAUUCUGAUACUCUGAACCAGACCUCCAGUUUCAUUUAUGUUGUUGUAAAUGACAGGGUGUCUUUUGAAAAGUCUACACAAACUAUUUAGUUUUUAACCUCAAGGAACUAAAAAACAAAUGAACAAACAAA